rnacentral:rRNA from 1 species
CGCGUAGGUGGUUUAUUAAGAUUGAUGUGAAAUCCCUGGGCUUAACCUAGGAACUGCAUCGAUGACUGAUAAGCUAGAGUACUGUAGAGGGUAGUGGAAUUUCCGGUGUAGCGGUGAAAUGCGUAGAGAUCGGAAGGAACACCAGUGGCGAAGGCGGCUACCUGGACAGAUACUGACACUGAGGCGCGAGAGCGUGGGGAGCAAACAGGAUUAGAUACCCUGGUAGUCCACGCUGUAAACGAUGAAGACUAGAUGUUGGGCAGCUUGACUGUUUAGUAUCGAAGCUAACGCGAUAAGUCUUCCGCCUGGGGAGUACGGCCGCAAGGUUAAA